rnacentral:rRNA from 1 species
GAUUAACGCUGGCGGCAUGCCUAAUACAUGCAAGUCGAACGGAAGCAGCAAUGCUUUAGUGGCGAACGGGUGAGUAACACGUAGGGAACCUACCUAUACGACGAGGAUAACUACUGGAAACGGUAGCUAAAACUGGAUAGGAUCAAUUGAGGCAUCUUGAUUGAUUUAAAGAUCCUUCGGGAUUACGUAGAGAUGGCCCUGCGGCGCAUUAGCUAGUUGGUGAGGCAACGGCCCACCAAGGCGACGAUGCGUAGCUGAGCUGAGAGGCUAAACAGCCACACUGGGACUGAGACACGGCCCAGACUCCUACGGGAGGCAGCAGUAGGGAAUUUUCGGCAAUGGGGGAAACCCUGACCGAGCAAUGCCGCGUGAACGAUGAAGGUCUUCGGAUUGUAAAGUUCUGUGAUUGGGGAAGAAUGGUAUUCUUAGGGAAUGAGGAGUACAUGACGGUACCCGAUUAGAAAGCCCCGGCUAACCUAUGUGCCAGCAGCCGAC